UACGUAGGUGGCAAGCGUUGUUCGGAAUUACUGGGCGUAAAGGGCGCGUAGGCGGUUCGUUAAGUCCUGUGUGAAAUCCCCCGGCUCAACUCCGAAACUGCAUUCGAUACUGCGGUGCUUGAGGACUGGAGAGGAGACUGGAAUUCAUGGUGUAGCAGUGAAAUGCGUAGAGAUCAUGAGGAAGACCAGUGGCGAAGGCGGGUCUCUGGACAGUUCCUGACACUGAGGCACGAAGGCCAGGGGAGCAAACGGG
rnacentral:rRNA from 1 species